CACGUAGGGGGCAAGCGUUGUCCGGAUUUAUUGGGCGUAAAGAGCUCGUAGGUGGUUCGGUAAGUCGGGUGUUAAACCCCCAGGCUCAACCUGGGGACGCCACUCGAUACUGCUGUGACUAGAGUCCGGUAGGGGAGCGUGGAAUUCCUGGUGUAGCGGUGAAAUGCGCAGAUAUCAGGAGGAACACCAGCGGCGAAGGCGGCGCUCUGGGCCGGUACUGACACUGAGGAGCGAAAGCGUGGGUAGCAAACAGG
rnacentral:rRNA from 2 species